rnacentral:lncRNA from 1 species
AGAGUUACCUGAGCUGCGCCGAGCGCGCGUAUCCCUGGAAAUAGCGGAGGCGCGCGAACAGGUAGAACAGUCCGCACAGGGCUGCGGCGCCUGCGAGAUUCGAGGCGAGGCGGCGCGGUGAGCACGAGCUCCCGCCAUCCGGGAUCACCGCCCCCCCAACCCCCCGAGUGUGCCCCCACGCUGCCCCGCACCUUCGUGGAAGAAGAUGCCGGCGACCCAGAGUGUGGCGAGGAACAGCGGAAAGUACUCGCUGCAGUUUACCCUGCGAGGGGUGGGCUGGGUGAGCGCGUGGCCCGCCUUGGCUGACACCCGAACCCGCCCGGACCCGCCGCGCUCACUGGGCUCGGAAGACGCGCUCGAACUCGGGAGGGCCAGAGCUCUCUGCAAAGCUUUACACUUGGGCUGUCAAGAUGGCUUAGCUAGUCUUCCACCGCAUCUGAUGACAUGUUAUAAUCCCUGGGACCCACUUGGGGAAGCCAACGAGUUAUCUUCUAGUCUCCACAGGCAUGCUGUGGCAUACACCUACUAACCAACAUCCACAUACAUACAUUUUUAAAAAUGUAGUGAGAAAAAUUCAAAGCUGUGCUAUCCAAGUUGAACUCCUACAUCGGCAGGGCCUCUUUUCCCCUCUAAAGGAGCCCCUGAAAUAGAAACACCACUGCUUCCUUUGAGAGACUUAUCUUGUAGGCCCAAUCCCAGGUUGAACAGCUCAGCUAGAAUCACAUCAGUGAAAAAGUCCUUCCUCUGUAUAGAAAUAAAGAAGAACACUACCCGCUCUAAAGUUUAAACUCACAAGACCCUCACAUCAAGGUUUAAUAUGGUAACAUCAACCUGACAUGGCAAAUCUAUCUGGUCAGGGUUUCACACUCAAAGGACUUACUGACAAGUCAGACUCAAGUUGCUUUUUAAAGCUAAGCUUGGUGGUGUAUAUCUUUAAUCUCAGCACUUGGGAAGUAGGAACAAGCAGAUCUCUGAAUUUGAGGCCAGCCUGGUCUAUAGAGCAAGUUCCAGAACAGCCAGGAUGACACACAUACACAAACACAGUGUACCAAUAAAUAAAUAAAUAAAAGUUUUUAUUUUC